UAUGGUAGUUCCCAGACUAGGGGUCCCAUCUGAGCUACAGCUGCUGGCCUAUGCCACAGCCACAGCAACAUGGGAUCUGAGCCACAUCUGUGACCUACACCACAGCUCACAGCAAUGCCAGAUCCUUAACCCACUGAUGGAGGCUAGGGAUCGAACCUGCAUCCUCAUGGAUACUAGGUGGGUAUGUUUCUGCUGAGCCACAGCAGGAACUCCUGUUACUAAACCAUAACUUUGCAGUGGAAGAUUUUCCAAAUCUUUCAGAGGAAUCCACGUUACUACAAGGAGGAUCAGGAUUAUUAUAGCAGCAAAAGAAAGAAAAAUAUCAUCAUUGUCAUCAUCACUGGUUUGAGUGUUUGGUUUGUGCCAGGCACUCUAUUAAACUCUUUACAUCAAUUAUCUAAUUUGUUCUUUUCGCUUUGUUCUUUGCAACAGGUCCUCAAGAGAGAUUGAUUUAAAGAAUUUCAAAAGGGGCUCUUAGAUUUACACUCUAAGCCAGUACUUUUCAAUCAAAACUGCUUAUUGGAAUCUCAACUGGGAAAUGCAAAAAUAGAAAACCUGCUUUAGACGGAAUAUUUGUGCCCCCCCCCCACUAUGAUAUGUUGAAAACUAGUGCCCAGUGUGACCGUAUUAGGAGCAGCCCAAACAGACUAAGACAGGCCCCAAUCAAACUACCUGCAUGAGGAUCUCUGUGUGAAGGCUGAUGGGAGCCACUGGUGUAUGUUCCUUCCUAAAUGACUGUCUCUGGAACCAGGCUUAAAGAUCAUUGUCAAAACCUUUGGGUAUGUGAGCCAAAAGUUUUACUGUGCAAUAUCAGACUUUAUUGAAAAAAGUGAAAGUGUUUUAAAGAUUUUAAAUGAAGUCGAUGAAGGAAGACGGGAUAUGUCAAAAAAUACUUUGGAGAAGGAAUUUGAAAAAAAUCCAGAUUAUUUUGCAUCCUCAAGGUAAAGAGAUGAACAUCUCCUGUCUGGCAAGUCCAAGGAAUGAAGUGUAAUGGAGCAUGAUCAGUGCUGGCUGAGGAAGACAAAAGGAUACGAGGAAGAGGAGGGAUGGGAAGAGGAGCUGAUCCGACAUCCAGAGACUGCCUUGCGACAUUGGACGUUCGUCCUAAAGUGCCCUGGCCUGAGAGGACAGCGCCUACAGACCAUCGCAGCGGUGAGACAAGUUUUCCUCUCCAUGUAAUCCGGCACAAGCUGUGCUUUCUCUUGCCACAAGUGAAUACUGGACUUCGCCCUACAUGCCCUAUAUUGAGACUCUCUUCUUCAAAGACCCAGGAUGCGGACAAGCCCACUGACUCAGAGGAUAGUAUUUAAACGGAUAUUGGUUGUGUGGAAUGGAAAAAUCCCAGUAUCUGUAUUUGAUGGGAAUAGAUUCUUAGAAAACCAACUCUAUGACAGGAAAAAAUAGACUAAUUUUUCUAUAGACCUCUAUGAUUACAUUGAAUUAUUUUUGCAAAUGAUACUUUGUAUGUGAGAUAUGCAUUAUUUUAAUUAUACACAGUCAAAUGUAUAGCAAAACUUCUCUAGAAUUAAUCAUUAAACAUCAUCUGUAAUAAAGCUGGAUUAUAAUACAUUUCUAAAGAUACAAGUGAGAAUACUAUCCUGUUAUAAUUUCUAUAAUAAAGUACACAUAUUUAUCUCUCUGUGUAUCUAAGUAAAUAUAAUAAAAAGUUUUAGAUAAUUAUUUGACUGUUAGUAGAAAGCUACUUAUAGACCUUCUAAAAAAUUCUAAGAAUUAUUUUGUGUCUAAUUUAGUACUAUGUAUUCCUGUAAUGUAUAUAAUCAGUUUCUCCUUACAUUUAAAGUUAUUACAAUAUCUACACUUUAAAGUCAAUUCUUUUAUCUUUGUUUCACAAUGAUCUGUAAGCAGCAGUUGUUUUUCAAUUAUUCAUGUAAAUCGGACACUAUUUCAGAGUUUUCUCAGGGCUUUCUUAUCUUCUGCAGUGUUGAACUAAAAUAACUUUAAAUUUGUUAUUUUUUCAAGCUAUGUUAAAUCACUUCCUUUGUAUUCAUGAUGCACAUUUUUUUCACUGAUUUUGUUAUUAGCUACUAUUAGGAAAUGUAUACUUGCACUAUACUUUACCUGAAGUGAUGCAAUAACAGUUACUCAUACAAUCAGGGACACCACAGUAGGAAAUGCUGGGAUAUUCUUUCUAGCUUUUUUUUUUAAAAGUAGUUAAAUUAUAGCUAUUGUUUCAGGAUAUUGUAUAGAGGCAAGGAGAAUUAAUGACCUUCAAUCAAAUCUUGGUUAAUCAUUGUCCAGGAGCUCAUUAUUCAACUUAAUCCAUGAACUCACCAAGGGUAAAUGAAUGCUAUAACGCCUAGAGGAACCGUCAUUUUGUCAAGAUAAAUGACCUGUAGGUGUGGCUUAAGCUUCUUUGCUAUAACUGGCAUAUGUGUCUUUCAUCUCUAUCAGUCUAUCUUUGAAAUGGUAGAGCUGGAGAACAUAUCAGCUUUUUUUCACAUUAAAUCAGAAAAAAAAGUCACUAAGUGGACCAUGUGAAAAUACAGUAGAUAACAAGAAAUUGUCUUUUUCUGCCAGAGGCUACCUGAUUCUGGCAUAUUUGGUUGUUUUUGGCUGUGAGUAAUAGAAGAUCAAAACCACCCAUUUUGGGAACUGUGGGCCCCGACAAAAUGAAUGAGCAAGAGUCACAUCAAAACUCACCGCCAUGAAAUUUAAAAUCACUGGAGAUAAAGAGAGGUCAUCCAAGUAUGAAGUAAGAAACAAAUCUAGUCAAACCAAAAAAUUCAGGAACUGCUAAAAAAAAUAAAAUAAAAUAAAAUCAGGAAUCAGAUCCGCACCAGACUUCUCAACAGCUCAACUGAGAAACAAUGGAACAGCAGACACUUGGCUAAGUGAUUUUCAACAUAGAAACUGACACUCAACACUACCAGUUAUGUCUGAAGUGCUAUCAGGACAUCUUCAGACAUGUAAAUUUAUAAAAACGUCACCUUCCACGCCCUUUCUCAGGAAGCUGCUGUGGGAUCUGCUCCUUCAGAGCAAUAGGUAAAGCAAGAAAGAAAAAUGUGAAGUCACGAAACAGGUGAUCUAGCACUUGAGAGAGGUUGUGAGAAUUUUCCAGUUGAAGUCAACAGGCAGCAUUAGGAUAACACGU
rnacentral:lncRNA from 1 species